CAGAACUUGAUCCCGAAAGCUAAAACUGGCGAGACUGCUAAUGGGCACCAUUUAUGCAAACGAAACAACAACAGAGGUUCUUGUGUCUGUUGUCCGCACUCCCUCUAAUUCCUGAUUGGCCCUGACGCUUCCCCAUAUGGCACCACGUGGUAUACCAUACCUCCUGUUUCUAAGGAACUGAGUUGAAUUUGGCUGUGUGUAGUAUUUUGUUUUAGUUCUCAUUCCACCUCUAAAUAACUGCCCGGGUGGGCGUCGGAAGGAAGCCCCUCUACAGAGGAUUGAGGGAGCUGAGAAACACACAGCUACCCAUUCAUCCCCACUCCACAUAGAAGAUGA